AACGAACGCUGGCGGCAGGCUUAACACAUGCAAGUCGAACGCAUCCUUCGGGGUGAGUGGCAGACGGGUGAGUAACGCGUGGGAACGUGCCCUUCAGUUCGGGAUAACCCAGGGAAACUUGGGCUAAUACCGGAUACGUGCGAGAGCAGAAAGAUUUAUCGCCGAAGGAUCGGCCCGCGUCUGAUUAGCUAGUUGGUGGGGUAAUGGCCCACCAAGGCGACGAUCAGUAGCUGGUCUGAGAGGGUGAUCAGCCACAUUGGGACUGAGACACGGCCCAAACUCCUACGGGAGGCAGCAGUGGGGAAUAUUGGACAAUGGGCGCAAGCCUGAUCCAGCCAUGCCGCGUGAGUGAUGAAGGCCUUAGGGUUGUAAAGCUCUUUCGUCCGGGACGAUAAUGACAGUACCGGGAGAAUAAGCUCCGGCUAACUCCGUGCCAGCCGCCGCCGUAA
rnacentral:rRNA from 1 species